rnacentral:rRNA from 1 species
AAAGCGUGCGCAGGCGGCUUUGCAAGACAGAUGUGAAAUCCCCGGGCUCAACCUGGGAACUGCAUUUGUGACUGCAAGGCUAGAGUACGGUAGAGGGGGAUGGAAUUCCGCGUGUAGCAGUGAAAUGCGUAGAUAUGCGGAGGAACACUAAUGGCGAAGGCAAUCCCCUGGACCUGUACUGACGCUCAUGCACGAAAGCGUGGGGAGCAAACAGGAUUAGAUACCCCAGU